GUCUUCGUGGUGUAGUGGUCAGCGCGCAUAACCGAGAGGUCCGUGGUUCGAUUCCCGGUGAAGGCG
rnacentral:tRNA from 1 species